AUUGAACGCUGGCGGCAGGCCUAACACAUGCAAGUCGAGCGGAUGAAGGGAGCUUGCUCCUGGAUUCAGCGGCGGACGGGUGAGUAAUGCCUAGGAAUCUGCCUGGUAGUGGGGGAUAACGUCCGGAAAUGGGCGCUAAUACCGCAUACGUCCUGAGGGAGAAAGUGGGGGAUCUUCGGACCUCACGCUAUCAGAUGAGCCUACGUCGGAUUAGCUAGUUGGUGGGGUAAAGGCCUACCAAGGAGACGAUCCGUAACUGGUCUGGGAGGAUGAUCAGUCACACUGGAACUGGGACACGGUCCAGACUCCUACGGGAGACAGCAGUGGGGAAUAUUGGACAAUGGGAGAAAGCCUGAUACAACCAUGCCGCGUGUGUGAAGAAGGUCUUCGGAUUGUAAAGCACUUUAAGUUGGGAGGAAGAGCAGUAAGUUAAUACCUUGCUGUAUUGACGUUACCAACAGAAUAAGCACCGGCUGACUUCGUG
rnacentral:rRNA from 1 species